UCCUCUUUACAGAGGCAGUUUCGUUCGAGUCCCCGGCUUUACCCGCUGGUAACAAACGAUGAGGGUUGCGCUCGUUGCGGGACUUAACCCAACACCUCACGGCACGAGCUGACGACAACCAUGCACCACCUGUAUACGGCCCCGAAGGACACCAUAUCUCUAUGGCUUUUCCGUAUAUUUCAAGCCCUGGUAAGGUUCUUCGCGUUGCGUCGAAUUAAGCCACAUGCUCCGCCGCUUGUGCGGGCCCCCGUCAAUUCCUUUGAGUUUUAGUCUUGCGACCGUACUCCCCAAGCGGAGUGCUUAAUGCGUUAGCUGCGGCACAGAGAGGGUUGAAGACCUCCCCACACCUAGCACUCAACGUUUACGGCUGGGACUAC
rnacentral:misc_RNA from 1 species